UUCUUCUGGUAAAGCAAGAAUUGUACACUGCAUAUUUACAGAGCAGCUGAUCUGAAAACAGGGCUGUAGCUUCGCCCACCCGGUGCCUAUUGGCUGUAAGAGAAGGGGGCGGGGCUUAGAGAGAGCGUGCGCUGUGACGCAGUGAAGUAGAAAGUGAAAGUAAGUCCUGUUUCCUUCAUUAAAACAGGACAGAAGUCUGGAUUCACUGGGAUGUCUUCAGUGUCCAACUGUGUGUGAAUGAAGAAGAAUAAAUUAUGGAUAUUCAGAACUCCAGCAGUGGAGCAGGACCCGCUUCAUGCAUACUGAAAUUAAGAAAUGAUGUCUGCAGUGUCCAGCUGUGAGUGAAUGAAAGAAGAAUAAACGAUGGAUCUUCAGAACUCCAGCAGUGGAGCAGAACUCCCUGUCCUAAAGAAGAAGAGAACAGCAUCUCCAGCCCCCAGUGGAGUGUCUAUGAAGAGUGAUCGGUCCAUUGGGAAUCCUCCUAAUUUCAGUAGUGAAGCUGUGACCUCUGACCCAAAGAGGAAGAGAGCAGCAUCUCCAGCCCCCAGUGGAGUGUCUAUGAAGAGUGAUCGGUCCAUGGGGAAUCCUCCUAAUUUCAGCAGUGAAGCUGUGACCUCUGACCCAAAAGAGAAGAUUACACUGAAUGUCCUGAGGAAGACGAACGAGAAAGACCUCCCUACCACACUAGAGAGCAAAUUGGCCCCGGCUUGUCAACCAAAGCUCAAAUCCACACUGAGGGAAAAAUGUCAGAGAAUUAAUGAAGGAAUCACAAAUCCUGGAACCUCAGUCCUCCUGAAU
rnacentral:lncRNA from 1 species